rnacentral:rRNA from 2 species
CGACGCUGGCGGCGUGCCUAAUACAUGCAAGUCGAGCGGACUUGAUGGAGUGCUUGCACUCCUGAUGGUUAGCGGCGGACGGGUGAGUAACACGUAGGCAACCUGCCCUCAAGACUGGGAUAACUACCGGAAACGGUAGCUAAUACCGGAUAAUUUAUUUUGCAGCAUUGUGAAAUAAUGAAAGGCGGAGCAAUCUGUCACUUGAGGAUGGGCCUGCGGCGCAUUAGCUAGUUGGUGGGGUAACGGCCCACCAAGGCGACGAUGCGUAGCCGACCUGAGAGGGUGAACGGCCACACUGGGACUGAGACACGGCCCAGACUCCUACGGGAGGCAGCAGUAGGGAAUCUUCCGCAAUGGGCGAAAGCCUGACGGAGCAACGCCGCGUGAGUGAUGAAGGUUUUCGGAUCGUAAAGCUCUGUUGCCAAGGAAGAACGUCUUCUAGAGUAACUGCUAGGAGAGUGACGGUACUUGAGAAGAAAGCCCCGGCUAACUACGUGCCA